rnacentral:rRNA from 1 species
AUACGGAGGGUGCAAGCGUUACUCGGAAUCACUGGGCGUAAAGCGCGCGCAGGCGGCUUGAUAAGUUGGAUGUGAAAGCCUACGGCUCAACCGUAGAACUGCAUCCAAAACUGUCAAGCUAGAGUCUGGGAGGGGAAGAUGGAAUUAGUUGUGUAGGGGUAAAAUCCGUAGAGAUAACUAGGAAUACCAAAAGCGAAGGCGAUCUUCUGGAACAGUUCUGACGCUGAGGCGCGAAAGCGUGGGGAGCAAACAGGAUUAGAAACCCCAGUAGUCC